ensembl:lncRNA
CCUUUCAUAAAUCCUGAUUUAUUCUUUAGCUCUUGUGCUGCCCGAGGUGGAUCCAUGGAGAUCCUUUCAUAAAUCCUGAUUUAUUCUUUAGCUCUGUCCAGCCUCUGUCCCAGGGCAGAUUUCACAAGGCAUCACUCUGACCCUUCUUUGCCUCCCCAGAACCAGCACGACGAUGUCAAGAAGCAGCUGCUGGACCUGCAGCUGCAGCACAACAGCCUCAAACUGGAGCACAGGAAGAGCCUGGAGAGCCAGAGCCAGAAACUGGCCCAGCUGCAGCAGGAGAAGGACAGCGAGGUCACCAACCUGCAGGACACGGUGUUUAAACUCAGAGAAGAGAGCAAGCUCCUCAGGAAGGCCCACCAGGAGGUUCACUCCCAGCUCCUCAAUGCUCAGGCCCAGAUGGAAGAGUUCAGGCAGCUCAAGGAAGCUCUGCAGAAGAUGCCAGGCUUGAGAGGAGGAGGAGGAGGAGGAGGAGGAGGAGGAGGAGGAAGGAAGGGGCAGCAGCCCCCGGUGCCAGCCAGCAGCCAGCUGCAGCCAGGGAUGCAGAAGGACGUGAAGAUGCUGAUGCACAUCCAGGUGAGGAGCCACCAGGCCAGCCAAGCUCCCGGGCUGGCCCUGCCUGUCCCGGGACAAACGCCCCUGGCACAGAAUCCCGCCGUGCCAGGCAGGCAGCGCCCAGCGGGCAGCAGAGAGGUGCCACGGCAAAGCUGGCAGGACCUGGCUGGCGGGAGGAAGGCCCAGGGGGCCGAGGAAGAGGCAGGAGACCACCCCGGGGUGCCCCCGGGUGCCCCCCGGGCCGGGCAGAGGGGGCAGAGGGGGCAGAGGGGCAGCCCCCGGCCCCCCGGCACAGGGGCAGAGCGGGCAGCAGAGAGGGCGGCCGAGGAGGAGCUGGAAAUGGAUGCAGGAGUCAUCGGCAGGGAGGAGCACUCUCAGCCCGCGCUCCAGGAGCCCAUGAUGCCAGAUGAUGCUGCAGAUCCUGCCCAGGACCCCAAUAACCAAGGCGAGGAUGAGUUUGAGGAGGCUGAGCUGGAGAGACCCGACUUUGAGGAGAAGGUGGGAGGCUUGGAGAAGUUGAAGGAGCCCAGCUUUAAAGAAGAGUCGAAGGAGAAGCCACCAAAGGAUGCUGGCAGACCUGCCAAGCCCAGGGAAGACCCUCUGGAGGACUACCAAGAAGAUCAGGAGCAAGAAAUUGUACGACACCAAGGUUCUUCCUCUUUCCCUCUCUGGUGUGGGCUCGCCUGGGGGUGUUGGCAGCCUGGAGCUUGGGGGGACUCAGGUUUUAGGGAGCCAGGUGUGAGCAGGGCCUCCAGGUGUGCCUCAGUGAGGUGUCCAGAGCAAAGCUGGAGCCCACUGCUGCCUUUUCCAGGUGUUCAGAGCACCCUCUGUGCUCUUUGUCCCCUCCUCCCUCGUGUCUGCAUCCACCUGCAGCAGCUGAGCUGUGGGAUGAUUCCCAAACAGCAGCUGGGAGGAAUCACAGGGGGAAUCACAGGGGGAAUCACAGGGGGGAUCAAUCACAGGGGGAAUAAAUCACAGGGGGAAUCACAGCAGGAAUCACAGGGGGGAUCAAUCACAGGGGGAAUCACAGCAGGAAUCAAUCACAGGAGGAAUCAAUCACAGCAGGAAUCACAGCAGGGAUCAAUCACAGCAGGAAUCAAUCGCAGCAGGGAUCAAUCGCAGGGGGAAUCAAUCACAGCAGGAAUCACAGCAGGAAUCAAUCACAGGGGGAAUCAAUCACAGCAGGAAUCACAGCAGGAAUCAAUCACAGGGGGAAUCAUAGCAGGAAUCAAUCACAGGGGGAAUCAAUCACAGCAGGAAUCACAGCAGGAAUCAAUCACAGGGGGAAUCAUAGCAGGAAUCAAUCACAGCAGGGAUCAAUCACAGCGGGAAUCAAUUGCAGCAGGGAUCAAUCACAGAGGAAUCAAUGACAGCAGGAAUCAAUGA